rnacentral:rRNA from 1 species
GUGGAUUAGAUACCCUGGUAGUCCACGCCGUAAACGAUGCAUACUAGGAAUUCGGAGAAUCGACCCUCUGUGUUUCGAAGCUAACGCGUUAAGUAUGCCGCCUGGGUAGUACGGCCGCAAGGCUAAAACUCAAAGGAAUUGACGGGGACCCGCACAAGCGGUGGAACAUGUGGUUUAAUUCGUCAACAAGCGAAGAACCUUACCAAGGUUUGACAUCUAGAGAAUCCCCUGGAAACAGGGGAGUGCCGUAAGGAGCUCUAAGACAGGUGCUGCACGGUUGUCGUCAACU